CAUAGGUUAAUGAGGCGAACCGGGGGAACUGAAACAUCUAAGUACCCCGAGGAAAAGAAAUCAACCGAGAUUCCCCCAGUAGCGGCGAGCGAACGGGGAGGAGCCCAGAGCCUGAAUCAGCAUGUGUGUUAGUGGAAGCGUCUGGAAAGGCGCGCGAUACAGGGUGACAGCCCCGUACACAAAAGCGCAUGUGCUGUGAGCUCGAUGAGUAGGGCGGGACACGUGGUAUCCUGUCUGAAUAUGGGGGGACCAUCCUCCAAGGCUAAAUACUCCUGACUGACCGAUAGUGAACCAGUACCGUGAGGGAAAGGCGAAAAGAACCCCGGCGAGGGGAGUGAAAAAGAACCUGAAACCGU
rnacentral:rRNA from 17 species